rnacentral:rRNA from 1 species
GAUGAACGCUGGCGGCGUGCCUAAUACAUGCAAGUCGAGCGAACGGACGAGAAGCUUGCUUCUCUGAUGUUAGCGGCGGACGGGUGAGUAACAUGUGGAUAACCUACCUAUAAGACUGGGAUAACUUCGGGAAACCGGAGCUAAUACCGGAUAAUAUUUUGAACCGCAUGGUUCAAAAGUGAAAGACGGUCUUGCUGUCACUUAUAGAUGGAUCCGCGCUGCAUUAGCUAGUUGGUAAGGUAACGGCUUACCAAGGCAACGAUGCAUAGCCGACCUGAGAGGGUGGUCGGCCACACUGGAACUGAGACACGGUCCAGACUCCUACGGGAGGCAGCAGUAGGGAAUCUUCCGCAAUGGGCGAAAGCCUGACGGAGCAACGCCGCGUGAGUGAUGAAGGUCUUCGGAUCGUAAAACUCUGUUAUUAGGGAAGAACAUAUGUGUAAGUAACUGUGCACAUCUUGACGGUACCUAAUCAGAAAGCCACGGCUAACUACGUG